CUUUUGAUGGUAGUUUCGUUGUCUACCAUGGUGAUAACGGGUAAAGAGGAUAAGGGUUUGACUCCGGAAAGGAUGCCUUAGAAACCGCAACCACAUCUAAGGAAGGCAGCAGGCGCGCAAAUUCCCACUCUCAAUUCGAGGGGUAGUGACAACCACUAACGAGACUGCGUCCUAUGGGCGCAGUCAUCUAAAUGGGUACAAUUUAAACCCUUUAACCAGGAUCUAUGAGAGGGCAAGUCUGGUGCCAGCAGCCGCGGUAAUUCCACCUCUCAAAGUGUAUGUCAUUAUUGCUGCGGUUAAAAAGCUCGUAGUUGGAUCUGAGCCCGUGGAUAC
rnacentral:rRNA from 1 species